AUUGAACGCUGGCGGCAUGCCUUACACAUGCAAGUCGAACGGCAGCACGGGUGCUUGCACCUGGUGGCGAGUGGCGAACGGGUGAGUAAUACAUCGGAACGUACCUUAUCGUGGGGGAUAACGCAGCGAAAGCUGUGCUAAUACCGCAUACGCCGUGAGGGGGAAAGCGGGGGAUCGAAAGACCUCGCGCGAAUAGAGCGGCCGAUGCCUGAUUAGCUUGUUGGGGGGGUAAAAACCCACCAAGGCGAAGAUCAGUAGCGGGCCUGAGAGGACGAUCAGCCACAUGGGGACUGGGACACGGCCCAGACUCCUACGGGAGGCAGCAGUGGGGAAUUUUGGACAAUGGGGGCAACCCUGAUCCAGCAAUGCCGCGUGAGUGAAGAAGGCCUUCGGGUUGUAAAGCUCUUUUGUCAGGGAAGAAACACCGGCUCUAACACAGUCCGGGAAUGACGGUACCUGAAGAAUAAGCACCGGCUAACUACGUGCCAGCAGCCGCCGUAA
rnacentral:rRNA from 1 species